ensembl:misc_RNA Metazoa_SRP Metazoan signal recognition particle RNA
GUUGGGCAUGGUGGCUCAUGCCUGUAAUCCUAGCAUUUUGGGAGGCUGAGGUGGGUGGAUCACCUGAGGUCAGGAGUUCAAGACCAGCCUGGCCAAUAUGGUGAAAUCCCAUCUCUA